CGGCAACACAGAGAUUCCAUUUCUUCCUGGGAUUAGGAAGCACGAAGUGUCCAGAUCUGCUUCUGAAAUCUCUUCCUCCCUUAAGCCAGGGUCAAAGCUGCCUCAUGCAGACGGAGAGGAGAAGCUGCGUUCCCUGCCUUUCCCGAAUUGUUUGUGGACUUUAAAUGAAGAAAAAGGCAAGACCUAAAUCCUGAACUCCUACCGCUAUAACACAUUCCUCUGCGCUAAGGAAC